rnacentral:rRNA from 1 species
CCUACGGGUGGCAGCAGUGGGGAAUAUUGGACAAUGGGGGAAACCCUGAACCAGCGACGCCGCGUGAGUGAAGAAGGAUUUCGGUACGUAAAGCUCCAUUAGUAGGAAAGAAAAUGACGGUACCUGACUAAUAAGCCCCGGCCAACUACGUGCCAGCUGCCGUGGUAAUAUGCAGGGGGCAAGCGUUAUCCGGAUUGACUGGGCGUUAAGGGGGCGUAGACGGGAGCGCAAGUCAGGAGUGAAAUGCUGGGGCCCAAACCCAGAACUGCACUUGAAACUGUGAGGCUGGAGUGCAGGAGAGGUAGGCGGAAUUCGUGGUGUAGCGGUGAAAUGCGUAGAUAUCAGGAAGAACGCCGACGGCGAAGGCAGCUUACUGGACUGUAACUGACGUUGAGGCUCGAAAGCGUGGGGAGCAAACAGGAUUAGAUACCCCUGUAGUC